rfam:Candidatus Zambryskibacteria bacterium RIFOXYD2_FTLL_43_10 rifoxyd2_full_scaffold_1787, whole genome shotgun sequence.
GCGAGAUUAGUUUAGUGGCAGAACUGAUGCUUCCCAAGCAUCGGGCGCGAGUUCGAUUCUCGCAUCUCGCA